GGAAUCAUGGAGGGCACCUCCGGUGGAGGAAACGGAAAUUUGGAGAUUUAUUUUCUUUUUUUUGCGGAUGGGAAAUCAAAUAAAAGUGAACUCGGCGUCGGGGCUGCGGUUCAUCCUCUGUGGUCACAGAGUGAUCUGAAUUUGGGGAUUCAGGAGGUGAAAUUUGGGGAUUCAGCAGGUGAGGUUUGGGAAUCCGGUUCAUCCUCUGUGGUCAUAGAGUGAUCUGAAUUUGGGAAUUCAUCAAGUGAGAUUUGGGAAUUCAGC